rnacentral:rRNA from 1 species
AUGUUCAGUUCUGAACUAAAACUUAGAGGUAUAUACAGUAUACUCGCAGCACACAGACGAAUGCAAUCCAAGCAAUCAACAAUUGAACACAUUAAGAAUUUCGCGAGCCAGGAAAUGGCCAUCCUGCACGGAUCUAGCCCUCACCUGCCUGUAAUCAGAGAACACCUUGUACUGCCAGAAAAUGGCCACUGUGCGGUAAAAAUACGGGAAAAUGGUAAGGCCAUGAAGAGAAUUAGGUUGGGAUUAAGAUUAGCUCUCUUGACGUUUUACCAUUCUAGGGCGCCACAGAAGAGCUCUGAGGACGGAAGCCGCCCCGCCCCGCUCUAG